GUUAGUGCUGCCUUUCGGAUUCAUCAGAGAAAAGGCCUGUUGCCUGAGAGCAAGUGAGUGUGGGUGCUCAGGCCUGAGUGGGACAUCCACAUCAACACCUGCCAAGGCCCAGGGAGCUUCACGGAAGAGGACUCGGAGAGAAGAUGAGAACAAGGCGAUGAGGGGAAGUGCUGCGGAACACCGUUUCCCAGGCAGAACAUGGCCACUGCACUCCUAAUCGCUCAGCAACUGAGAUGACUUGAGUGAGACCUGCAGAAGACUGGGCCCGUCAGCAUCCCAUCAUGGAUGG
rnacentral:lncRNA from 1 species